rnacentral:rRNA from 1 species
AACGUUAUUCGUAAUUACUGGGUGUAUAGUAUAAAUAAACAAAAAUAUAUGCGAAAUACGCUUGAUUUUUAAAAACUAAUAAGUAUUUUUGAUUUUUAUAAUGUAAUGAUAAAAUAUAAUAACAUUAUGGGGAUUUCUAAAAAAUAAAUGCUAUUAGUUUAUGUUGAAUUAUGAAGGUAUAAAAAUCAAAUAGGAUUCGGGACCCUAGUAGUUUAUACAGUAAACAAUGGCGGCCGAUAACAUCAGCUGCUCACUUAGGUAGUAUAAUCGCAAGAUUGAAAUUUAACAGAAUUGGCGGGAAUUUAAUUUAACGGUGGAGCAUGUGGUUUAAUACGAUAAUCCACGUAAAACCUUACCAGUGUGGUUAUUUAUUUAAUUUCUUUUUAAGAAUAAAAUUAUUAUAAAUGCGUAGUAUUGCAUGGCUGUCGUCAGCUCGUGUUGUGAAAUGUAAAAUUAAGUUUUUUAACGAGUAAAAUCCCUAAUAUUUAUAUAGUUAUAAAUUUUUAUUUAUACUUAAAAAUAUUUUUAUGUUUAGGGUUGAAGUCAAGUCGGUAUGAUCUUUGAAUGCUGGGCUAUACACGUGUUACAAUGCUAAUUACAAAAAAUGGUUUUUUUGUAAAAAUAUACUAUAUUUAAAAAAUUAGCAAAGUUCAGAUUAUUUUUUGUAACUCAAAAAUAUGAAGAUGAAAUCGUUAGUAAUUGUAAAUAAUUAUGUUACAGUGAAUUAUCAAAUUAAAUUUUGUACACACUGCCCAUCACGCUCGGAAAACAAAUUGAUUUUUUUUUAUUAAAAAAACAUAAAGAUAUGGCGUAUUUUUAAUAUUUUUGUUUAUUUAGUAUUGAAUUUAUAUUUUGUAAUUUGAGUG